CGGUUCUCGUGUGAUCAUCGAAGUUAAGCAACAUAGAGCGUGGUCAGUACCUAGAUGGGUGACCUCUUGGAAAUACCAGGUGCUGUAAG